rnacentral:rRNA from 1 species
GACGAACGCUGGCGGCGUGCCUAAUACAUGCAAGUAGAACGCUGAAGAGAGGAGCUUGCUCUUCUUGGAUGAGUUGCGAACGGGUGAGUAACGCGUAGUUAACCUGCCUUGUAGCGGGGGAUAACUAUUGGAAGCGAUAGCUAAUACCGCAUAACAAUGGAUGACACAUGUCAUUUAUUUGCAAGGGGCAAUUGCUCCACUACAAGAUGGACCUGCGUUGUAUUAGCUAGUAGGUGAGGUAAUGGCUCACCUAGGCGACGAUACAUAGCCGACCUGAGAGGGUGAUCGGCCACACUGGGACUGAGACACGGCCCAGACUCCUACGGGAGGCAGCAGUAGGGAAUCUUCGGCAAUGGGGGCAACGCUGACCGAGCAACGCCGCGUGAGUGAAGAAGGUUGUCGGAUCGUAAAGCUCUGUUGUAAGUCAAGAACGGGUGUGAGAGUGGAAAGUUCACACUGUGACGGUAGCUUACCAGAAAGGGACGGCUAACUACGUG